GGUCCAGGUCCCUUCUCGCAGAGGGUGCUGCUCACGCUGGAGGAGAAGAAGGUGCCCUACCAGAUGAAGCUCAUCGACGUCAGCAACAAGCCCGACUGGUUCCUGAAGAUCAAUCCAGAGGGCAAGGUGCCCGUGUAUAACGGUGGUGAUGGCAAAUGGAUUGCUGAUUCUGAUGUGAUCACUCAAGUCAUUGAGGAGAAGUACCCAACUCCAUCACUUGUUACUCCUCCUGAGUAUGCAUCAGUGGGAUCAAAGAUCUUCUCCACCUUCGUCACGUUCUUGAAGAGCAAGGAUGCCAGCGAUGGCUCGGAGAAGGCGCUUGUUGACGAGCUGCAGGCACUCGAAGAGCACCUAAAGGCCCAUGGACCCUACAUCAACGGGGCGAACAUCUCCGCCGUCGAUCUCAGCCUGGCUCCGAAGCUCUACCAUCUGCAGGUCGCCCUGGAGCACUUCAAGGGCUGGAAGGUCCCUGAAACCCUGACCAGCGUCCAUGCCUACACCGAGGCUCUCUUCAGCCGCGAGUCGUUCGUCAAGACCAAGGCGACCAAGGAGAACCUGAUCGCCGGGUGGGCGCCGAAAGUGAACCCGUAA
rnacentral:rRNA from 1 species